rnacentral:rRNA from 1 species
GAAUGCUGACAUAAGUAACGAUAAAGCGGGUGAAAAGCCCGCUCGCCGGAAGACCAAGGGUUCCUGUCCAACGUUAAUCGGGGCAGGGUGAGUCGACCCCUAAGGCGAGGCCGAAAGGCGUAGUCGAUGGGAAACGGGUUAAUAUUCCCGUACUUGGUGUUACUGCGAAGGGGGGACGGAGAAGGCUAUGUUGGCCGGGCGACGGUUGUCCCGGUUUAAGCGUGUAGGUGUGUGUUCCAGGUAAAUCCGGUUCACUUUAACACUGAGGCGUGACGACGAGGCACUACGGUGCUGAAGCAACAAAUGCCCUGCUUCCAGGAAAAGCCUCUAAGCAUCAGGUAACAUCAAAUCGUACCCCAAACCGACACAGGUGGUCAGGUAGAGAAUACCAAGGCGCUUGAGAGAACUCGGGUGAAGGAACUAGGCAAAAUGGUGCCGUAACUUCGGGAGAAGGCACGCUGACACGUAGGUGAAGUGAUUUACUCAUGGAGCUGAAGUCAGUCGAAGAUACCAGCUGGCU